rnacentral:rRNA from 1 species
UACGGAGGGUGCGAGCGUUGUCCGGAAUCACUGGGCGUAAAGGGCGCGUAGGCGGCGCGGGAAGUCCGUGGUGAAAGCCCGAGGCUCAACUUCGGGUCGGCCAUGGAUACUCCUGGGCUCGAGCACUGUAGAGGCAGGUGGAAUUCCGGGUGUAGCGGUGGAAUGCGUAGAGAUCCGGAAGAACACCGGUGGCGAAGGCGGCCUGCUGGGCCGACACUGACACUGAGAGACGAAAGCUAGGGGAGCAAAUGGG